rnacentral:lncRNA from 1 species
CUGGCGUUUCGGGGGGCGGAACCGGGAAGCGUUUCCGGGGGCGGGAGGCACAGGCUGAGGCGGUCGCGGCGGCGACGGCUUGAAGGGGCCUGGAGCCGGUGGCGGAAAGUGUCCGGCGGCCGGGUUAUGUGAGCGCGGAGCCGUUAGCAGAAGUCAGUGCGAUUUUAAUUUGAAGCAAAACAGAGAAAUGGGUUUCUCUUCCUCAUUCAUCCUUACUGCUUUCUGAUGGCCAUGGCAUAAAGGGCUUUUUCCUAGGAAUACAGCUUUGCAUUAGCAC